rnacentral:rRNA from 1 species
UACGGGGGGUGCAAGCGUUAUCCGGAUUCACUGGGGUUAAAGGGUGCGUAGGUGGCUUUGUAAGUCAGUGGUGAAAUGCCGGAGCUUAACUCCGGAACUGCCAUUGAUACUGCUUAGCUUGAAUCACGUCGAGGUGGAUGGAAUAUUACAUGUAGCGGUGAAAUGCUUAGAUAUGUAAUAGAACACCGAUUGCGAAGGCAGUUCACUAGGCGUGUAUUGACACUGAGGCACGAAAGCGUGGGGAUCAAACAGG